rnacentral:rRNA from 1 species
UUCGCAAUGCCCGAAAGGGUGACGAAGCGACGCCGCGUGUGGGAAGAAGGCCUUCGGGUUGUAAACCGCUGUUGGGAGUUAGGAAGUGUGGGAGUGUUAAUAGCGCUUCCACUUGACUAAAGCUCCAGAGGAAGCCACGGCUAACUCUGUGCCAGCAGCCGCGGUAAUACAGAGGCGGCAAGCGUUGUUCGGAAUUAUUGGGCGUAAAGAGCACGUAGGCGGCUAUGUAAGUCGGUUGUGAAAGCCUUCCGCUCAACGGGAGAACAGCAUCCGAUACUGCAUGGCUUGAGUGCGGGAGGGGAGAGUGGAACUUCUGGUGGAGCGGUGAAAUGCGUAGAUAUCAGAAGGAACGCCGGCGGCGAAAGCGGCUCUCUGGCCCAUAACUGACGCUGAGUGUGCGAAAGCUAGGGGAGCAAACGGGAUUAGAUACCCCGGUAGUCCUAGCCGUAAACGAUGGGCACUAAGUAGAGGGGUUUU